GGACAACCUACCCUCGGGUAGGGGAUAACCCCGGGAAACUGGGGCUAAUCCCCUAUAGGUCAUGGUGACUGGAAUGUCCCAUGACUGAAAGCUCCGGCGCCCGAGGAUGGGUCUGCGGCGGAUUAGGUAGUUGGUGGGGUAACGGCCCACCAAGCCUAAGAUCCGUACGGGCUGUGAGAGCAGGAGCCCGGAGAUGGACACUGAGACAAGGGUCCAGGCCCUACGGGGCGCAGCAGGCGCGAAACCUCCGCAAUGCGGGAAACCGCGACGGGGCUAGCCAGAGUGCCCACGCAUAGCGUGGGCUGUCCGGGUGCCUAAAAAGCACCCGAUAGCAAGGGAUGGGCAAGGCCGGUGGCAGCCGCCGCGGUAAUACCGGCGUCCCGAGUGGCGGCCACUAUUAUUGGGCCUAAAGCGUCCGUAGCCGGGUUGGUAAGUCCCCCGGGAAAUCUGGUCGCUCAACGAUCAGACUGCCGGGGGAUACUGCCAGCCUAGGGACCGGGAGAGGCCGAGGGUAUUCCCGGGGUAGGGGUGAAAUCCUGUAAUCCCGGGAGGACCACCUGUGGCGAAGGCGCUCGGCUGGAACGGGUCCGACGGUGAGGGACGAAGGCCUGGGGAGCGAACCGGAUUAGAUACCCGGGUAGUCCAGGCUGUAAACGAUGCGGGCUAGGUGUCACUGGAGCUACGAGCUCUGGUGGUGCCGGAGGGAAGCCGUUAAGCCCGCCGCCUGGGAAGUACGGCCGCAAGGCUGAAACUUAA
rnacentral:rRNA from 1 species